CGCCGCCGCCGGGGUUGGGGGGGGGAGGGGGGUCGGAGCCGCCGCCGCCGGUAGAGCCGGGGCGGCCGGGGGGGCCCCGUCGAGCGCCGCCACCAACGUUCAAGCGUCCCCUCGGCAGCUCCGGGCGCUGCCCGCUGCUCCUCAUCACCCGCUGAGGCUGCGGCGGCCCGAGGAGCGCUUUCCCGCCCGCCCCCGCCCCCCCUCUCCCGGUACCGCCCGCGGGGCUCCCCGCUGGCCCGUCGCUACCGUGAUGGUCAUCAGCGGGCGGCCGGGGAAGCUCGGGUGGAUGGCCCGGCGGCGGUAGGACGCGCCGGCGGAGAGGCGGCCCGGGCAGGGCCGGGCGGCGGAGCCUCGCCGGGAGGAGGAAGGCGCUUCUGCCCUGCCCGUCGGAGAGACGCCGCGCGGAGUGAGACAUGGCCGUGGCUGUCACCACUAAGACGGCGUGGAAGCUGCAAGAGAUCACGGCUCACAGCAGCAAUGUGUCCUCACUAGUCCUGGGAAAAAGUUCAGGCCGGCUGCUGGCAACUGGAGGAGAUGACUGUCGGGUCAACAUAUGGUCAGUUAACAAGCCCAACUGCAUCAUGAGCUUGACGGGCCAUACAACGCCCAUUGAGAGCCUACAGAUCAAUACGAAUGAGGAGCUUAUCGUUGCAGGGUCCCAGUCAGGGUCCAUUCGAGUUUGGGACCUGGAAGCUGCCAAAAUUCUUCGUACCUUACUUGGUCACAAAGCGAAUAUCUGCAGCCUUGAUUUCCAUCCUUUUGGAAGCUUUGUGGCAUCUGGCUCUUUGGACACAAACAUUAAGCUCUGGGAUGUAAGAAGAAAAGGCUGUGUCUUCAGGUACAAGGGUCACACAGAAGCAGUUCGAUGUCUCCGCUUUAGUCCUGAUGGGAAAUGGUUGGCCUCUGCUGCUGAUGAUCACACUGUAAAGCUCUGGGAUCUGGCUGCUGGGAAGAUAAUGUAUGAGUUUACAGGACAUACCGGCCCAGUAAAUGUUGUUGAAUUCCACCCUAAUGAAUACCUUUUGGCUUCUGGCAGCUCUGACAGGACUGUUCGGUUCUGGGACUUGGAGAAGUUUCAAGUUGUGAGCUGUAUUGAAGAAGAGGCUAGUCCUGUCAGGUGUGUGCUCUUCAACCCAGAUGGCUGCUGCUUGUAUAGUGGCUUCCAGGAUUCGCUGCGUGUGUACGGCUGGGAGCCAGAGCGCUGUUUUGAUGUGGUCUUGGUGAACUGGGGAAAAGUCGCCGACUUAUCUAUCUGCAACAACCAGCUGAUAGGAGUUUCCUUUGCGCAAAGCACAGUCUCUUCCUUCGUUGUGGAUCUCAGCAGAGUGACAAAGUCGGAUUCUAUUCCUCAUGGGCUGAUCAGGGAUGAUGAGCCUUUUGUGCCACCUACCCCCACAGGGUCCUCCCUUCGCCGCAUCUAUGACAGGCCCUCAACUAGCUGCAGCAAGGCACAAAGCAGAGUGAAGCACAACUCAGAGAGUGAGAGGCGCAGUCCCAGCAGUGAAGAUGACCGGGAUGAGAAGGAAUCAAAGGCUGAGAUCCAGAACCCGGAGGAUUACAAAGAGAUCUUUCAGCCCAAGAACGCUAUCUGUCGAACUCCUCCUCGAAACAACGAGCCCUUUCCAGCCCCUCCGGAGGAUGAUCCUGUAACUGCAAAGGAAGCAGUGAAACCCAGCCAAGCUGCAGAUGUCCAGACCCCAUCGCCAAAGCAAGAACUUCCUGAUCCAGUUCAGAGGCCACCGAUUGCCUCCUCAACUCCUUUGACCAGAACAGAGCCGUCGGUGAUUCCUGCAGCCAGGAAUGAGCCCAUUGGCCUGAAGGCCUCUGACUUUCUACCAGCUGUGAAAAACCAAAGCCAGACCGAGCUCGUGGAUGAGGAAGCCAUGUCCCAGAUCAGGAAAGGCCAUGAGACCAUGUGUGUGGUGCUCACCAGCCGCCACAAGAAUCUGGACACUGUGCGGGCUGUAUGGAGCACUGGUGACAUCAAGAACUCUGUGGACUCUGCAGUGGCGAUCAACGAUCUGUCUGUUGUUGUGGACCUCUUGAAUAUUGUCAACCAAAAAGCGUCUCUCUGGAAGCUGGAUUUGUGUACUAUUAUCCUGCCGCAGAUAGAAAAACUACUCCAAAGUAAAUAUGAAAGUUAUGUGCAGACUGGCUGCACCUCCCUGAAACUCAUUCUCCAGAGAUUCCUGCCACUGAUCACAGACAUCCUCGCUGCACCACCUUCUGUCGGAGUGGACAUCACCAGAGAGGAAAGGCUCCAUAAAUGCAAGCUGUGCUACAAGCAGCUGAAAAACAUCAGCAACAUCGUCAAGAACAAGUCUGGGCUCAGUGGCCGCCAUGGUAGUGCCUUCCGGGAACUGCAUCUCCUCAUGGCUGUCCUGGAGUGACAGCCAUCACCUCCUCAUGCGCAAACACAGGUGGCCAAGCUCCCCUCUGCUCUUGGCCCAGCUGGAUUUCACCUCUCUCCGUGUCUCCAUCUUCCACCCCAACCCCCCCUCCCCCCAGCACGGUAGGGAAGUGGAAUCUCACUGACUGGUUGCCUCCCCAGUCCUGGUGCCUUACGGGCUGGAUGGAGGACCUGAGUGGAGAGACAUCUGUGCUGUGUGAGGGGACCUGGCUGUUGGUGGGCCCUGCAAAGCCCCUGUAGGAAAGCAGCUUCAUUUCAGCUCUUCAUCUGAGCUCUCAGCUGCUCUGUCUCUAUGUGCUGGCCUUUCCCUGAUGGGAGGGCUCUGAGACUGCUGUCACCCCUCCUUCACCCAUGUGUGCUGUCGGUUCUUGUUGCUUGGCUCUGUGGGCUGGGGCUGACUGGCCCCGCUCUCUUUGAGUGGCAUGCUGAGGACUGCAGCAUCCACCCCACAAAAGCCUGCUGGGGGGUGGAGUGCCCUUUCCCUACAGAAGGGACUUCAACUGCCGUGUGGGACUGGCCCUUUUGGCUUGCUUCAUCAAACAUGAGCCAGGACACUGUGCCACUGCCUGGUGUGUAGUCCCAAGGACCUGUAUCGAGAGGAGGCUGUCUCUUGGCUUCUCAAAAAUCCCUGCUGGCACCCUGGGCCGCAGAAGAUGAUUAUCUUCAGACUGUUGCUGGGAAGUAAGGUCUACCUGGAUCUGUUAAAAUAUGUGACUUAAACAGGACUUAAUAGUACACUGUGGAAGAGUGAGAGGAGAGGGCUGCGGUGGGAAGGAGCUAUCAGUGCAUCGUCCAGUCGGUUAUUUGCGGCAGGAGGAAGCCUACCCAUGGGUGGGUGCUCAGCGGUGCAAGGCACAGUGCCAUCUCCUCUGACCCCACCUGCAAGCCACUGUCCCAACACAUAAUCCAACAGGCUUUUGGGCUGGAGUUUUGGGGGGGAGGGGUUUGUUUGUUUUCAACUUGUUUUCCAUUCCAAGACCAUGUAAACAGGUAAAUAUUUCAAACACUUUCAUCUCGACCACACUGUGAUCUCUCUUGACAAGACAACUGGUAAAUAACUUUACAAUAGCUCCAUUUGAGACUGCUAAAUCCACCCUGGUGCUGUGUAACACAGGCAGCCCUGCGACCAUUCUCCCUCUGUGCCAGGGCAGCUGGUGCAGGGCCCUGGCAGCACUGGCACCACGAUGAAUGGCAGCUUGGCUCAUGCACGGC